rnacentral:rRNA from 1 species
CAGCAGCCGCGGUAAUACGUAGGGUGCGAGCGUUAAUCGGAAUUACUGGGCGUAAAGCGUGCGCAGGCGGUUCGUUAAGACAGAUGUGAAAUCCCCGGGCUUAACCUGGGAACUGCAUUUGUGACUGGCGAGCUAGAGUAUGGCAGAGGGGGGUAGAAUUCCACGUGUAGCAGUGAAAUGCGUAGAGAUGUGGAGGAACACCGAUGGCGAAGGCAGCCCCCUGGGCCAAUACUGACGCUCAUGCACGAAAGCGUGGGGAGCAAACAGGAUUAGAUACCCCAGUAGUCCCUGUCUCUUAUAC